AACUGUUUUUUUCAACUGGUUUAUCGAACAUCGCAGCUACACCUGAGACAAGUUGAAGUUGAAGCUCAGCCAGAUUUGGUUCAGAGCAUCCCAAGAGGUGGCACCAGUGGGAGCCCUAGCAAAGAAAAUGACAAAAAGAAGGAUCCAGAUGACCAACCAAAAGAUAAUGGAGGUAUUAGAGGUUGUAAAACUGUUAGUUUGUUACAACUAUUUCAGUUAAAUAGUUUGCAUAUCUAGCUGAUCUAUUUGUGUAUAAAUACACCACCUUGGUAUUCAUUCAAGUCAAGCAAUAAUAAUUUCAGUUUAUAACUCUAUACUGUUUCUAUUUCAAUAUUUCACAAGCAUUCUUUCAUGGUAUCAGUCGCUAGUUAGUUACCUGGGCUACCUUUGUUGUGUUCGAUGAAUCCUGUUUCUCCAGCUGUGUCUGCCAAUCAGGCCACUCAGCCCACCUCUGCUCCUCAGUCCUCCUCUUCCCCUGCCCUUGAUGAAAGCCAGUUCUGUCGCGUGGUUCAGUCAUUUCCCAAACAUGACACUGUUAAACUUACCACAAAACGUUCGUUCAGUGGAAACACCAGCUAACGCUUAUUAUCGAAGCUUAUGGGCUUACCGAUUAUAUACAUGGGAUGAUCUCUGCCCCAUCCAAGUUUGUUCACGAUGCUGAAGGGAAGUUGGUUCCUAAUUCUGCUUUUCUUUUAUUUCAACGGCAAGACAAAUUGCUUGCUUCUUGGAUCUUAUCCACGAUCAGUGGAG
rnacentral:lncRNA from 1 species